rnacentral:rRNA from 1 species
GGGCGCACGCGCGCUACACUGACGGAGCCAGCGAGCAUAAUCCUUGGCCGAGAGGUCUGGGUAAUCUUGUUAAACUCCGUCGUGCUGGGGAUAGAGCAUUGUAAUUAUUGCUCUUCAACGAGGAAUUCCUAGUAAGCGCAAGUCAUCAGCUUGCGUUGAAUACGUUUC